UACGUAGGGGGCAAGCGUUGUCCGGAUUCAUUGGGCGUAAAGGGUGCGUAGGCGGCGCGGUAAGUCGGGUGUGAAAUUUCGGAGCUUAACUCCGAAACUGCAUUUGAUACUGGCGUGCUUGAGGACUGGAGAGGAGACUGGAAUUCAUGGUGUAGCAGUGAAAUGCGUAGAGAUCAUGAGGAAGACCAGUGGCGAAGGCGGGUCUCUGGACAGUUCCUGACACUGAGACACGAAGGCCAGGGGAGCAAACGGG
rnacentral:rRNA from 1 species